GAUGAACGCUAGCGGCAGGCUUAAUACAUGCAAGUCGAGGGGCAGCACAGAUAGCAAUAUUGGGUGGCGACCGGCAAACGGGUGCGGAGCACGUACACAACCUUCCUUUUAGUGUGGGAUAGCCCAGAGAAAUUUGGAUUAAUACCACAUAGUAUAUUGGAGUGGCAUCACUUUGAUAUUAAAGAUUUAUCGCUAAAAGAUGGGUGUGCGUAUGAUUAGGUAGUUGGUAGAGGUAACGGCUCACCAAGCCUUCGAUCAUUAACUGGUGUGAGAGCACGACCAUUCACACGGGCACUGAAACACGGGCCCGACUCCGACGGGAGGCAGCAGGAAGGAAUAUUGGUCAAUGGACGGAGGUCUGAACCAGCCAUGCCGCGUGAAGGAUGACGGCCCUCUGGGUUGUAAACUUCUUUUAUGUGGGACGAAAAAGGGCCAUUUUUGGUCAACUGACGGUACCAUAGGAAUAAGCACCGGCUAACUCCGUGCCAGCCGCCGCCGUAA
rnacentral:rRNA from 1 species